AGUCCCGCCCUCAAAUCCCGUGGGUCUCUGCGAGAUGGUAUUUAAGCGUCUCGCUGUGCAAUUCAGGUCCCGUUUUUCCGCUGUUCAGGGCUUCAGGCGCACGUGUGCACGCUGAAGAGCCGGAAGCAGCCCUCUUUGUUGCAUUCAAAAGACCUUACGGGUUGGAGGAUGGCACAGGACCCGUCCCCGUGCAAGUCGGUGAUGACAGUGGGUGUGCUCCAGCAUCGCCUCAUCAAUCCUGAGGAAUUCAGCUGUUUCCCAAGAUGACUUGCAGGUUGUCCUGAUGAUAAUAUAUUCACCUAUCUUAACGAUGCUCACUGAUCCGCCCAGGGUUGAAGUCUUGGAAACUUGAAGCCCAGUUGGAAGUGGAGCAAGCAGCUGGAUCCUGUAUACUACUGGAAAGCCUCCAAGGUUAAAAAGGCACUGUUACCAGUAAUCUGCUUAUCUACUCAAAGGUCCAGCGCCUUCUCUUGGAACCAAAGAAUGAUUUGAGGGGGUGUGUAAGCCAUAUCUCUGCUCAACUUCAUGCUGAAGUCAGAGGUCUAAAGAAAGAACAAAUGUAUGUAAUGGAUGUCAACUCUUCCAAAACAUCAAAAAAGGAAUUUUCAAGCAAUUUCUCACAUGCUCUGGCUGUUCAAAUUUGGGCAUAAUCAUUUCAGCUUUUAUAAAUAAAAGAUUUAAUCUUCAUUGUGA